rnacentral:rRNA from 1 species
GAUGAACGCUGGCGGCGUGCCUAAUACAUGCAAGUCGAGCGAACGGACGAGAAGCUUGCUCUUCUGAUGUUAGCGGCGGACGGGUGAGUAACACGUGGAUAACCUACCUAUAAGACUGGGAUAACUUCGGGAAACCGGAGCUAAUACCGGAUAAUAUAUUGAACCGCAUGGUUCAAAAGUGAAAGACGGUCUUGCUGUCACUUAUAGAUGGAUCCGCGCUGCAUUAGCUAGUUGGUAAGGUAACGGCUUACCAAGGCAACGAUGCAUAGCCGACCUGAGAGGGUGAUCGGCCACACUGGAACUGAGACACGGUCCAGACUCCUACGGGAGGCAGCAGUAGGGAAUCUUCCGCAAUGGGCGAAAGCCUGACGGAGCAACGCCGCGUGAGUGAUGAAGGUCUUCGGAUCGUAAAACUCUGUUAUUAGGGAAGAACAUAUGUGUAAGUAACUAUGCACAUCUUGACGGUACCUAAUCAGAAAGCCACGGCUAACUACGUG